AACGCUGGCGGCGUGCCUAAUACAUGCAAGUCGAGCGGACAGAUGGGAGCUUGCUCCCUGAUGUUAGCGGCGGACGGGUGAGUAACACGUGGGUAACCUGCCUGUAAGACUGGGAUAACUCCGGGAAACCGGGGCUAAUACCGGAUGCUUGUUUGAACCGCAUGGUUCAAACAUAAAAGGUGGCUUCGGCUACCACUUACAGAUGGACCCGCGGCGCAUUAGCUAGUUGGUGAGGUAAUGGCUCACCAAGGCAACGAUGCGUAGCCGACCUGAGAGGGUGAUCGGCCACACUGGGACUGAGACACGGCCCAGACUCCUACGGGAGGCAGCAGUAGGGAAUCUUCCGCAAUGGACGAAAGUCUGACGGAGCAACGCCGCGUGAGUGAUGAAGGUUUUCGGAUCGUAAAGCUCUGUUGUUAGGGAAGAACAAGUGCCGUUCGAAUAGGGCGGCACCUUGACGGUACCUAACCAGAAAGCCACGGCUAACUACGUGCCAGCAGCCGCGGUAAUACGUAGGUGGCAAGCGUUGUCCGGAAUUAUUGGGCGUAAAGGGCUCGCAGGCGGUUUCUUAAGUCUGAUGUGAAAGCCCCCGGCUCAACCGGGGAGGGUCAUUGGAAACUGGGGAACUUGAGUGCAGAAGAGGAGAGUGGAAUUCCACGUGUAGCGGUGAAAUGCGUAGAGAUGUGGAGGAACACCAGUGGCGAAGGCGACUCUCUGGUCUGUAACUGACGCUGAGGAGCGAAAGCGUGGGGAGCGAACAGGAUUAGAUACCCUGGUAU
rnacentral:rRNA from 1 species